UUGUGUAGAUUGGUGGGAAUUUGUUUUUAAAUACAUUUUAGAAUAAGGCUGUAACGUAACAAUGUGGAAAAAGUCAAGGGGUCUGAAUACUUCCAGAAUGCACGGUAUGCUCCAAUCCCAAAUGAAUGGGAAGAUUGGAGCAUAAAGCUUGAUCUACUUGAGAUGGACAUGGAGUCAUAGACUUCAAAUGACAGGGCUGAAAACCUCUAAAACGUACAUUUUGGAUUGAACUAAGCUAGCCCUUUGUGUUCCAUAUGAAGAAGGGUAACUAGUGAGGGAGUUAGG